UACAGAGGUCUCAAGCGUUUGUUCGGAUUCAUUGGGCGUAAAGGGUGCGUAGGCGGCGCGGUAAGUCGGGUGUGAAAUCUGGAGCUUAACUCCGAAACUGCAUUCGAUACUGCCGUGCUUGAGGACUGGAGAGGAGACUGGAAUUUACGGUGUAGCGGUGAAAUGCGUAGAUAUCGUAAGGAAGACCAGUGGCGAAGGCGGGUCUCUGGACAGUUCCUGACGCUGAGGCACGAAGGCCAGGGGAGCAAACGGG
rnacentral:rRNA from 1 species